CCCCAGGCUGUCGCGCGAGCUCCCCGGAAGCUCCCACCUGAGCGGCGCAUCCUCAGGGCCUGGGCCUGGCCUCCUUGCCUGUGAGAUGGCACUGUGACGGUGCCCACCUCGUGGGGUGUGUGAGGGCCGAGUGAAAUCGUGCAUUUGCGGUCUGAAAUGCAGAAGACAGAAGAUGAGCUCUGGCUCUUCACCUGCAUGGCUGGUGGCAGUGUGGCCUCAGUCUUCUGGGGCUUGAGGAGCUCUGACACUGGUCAGGUCAGAGGUGCCCACUCACCCACUGCUGCCCGUAGCUGUCUUCCACAUCGUUGAUCCAGCGGUCAUCCCAGUCCACUCGGAGGCCCAACAGGUGAAUUGGGAGGAAGCCGUUCUCAGCCAGAAUCACAAACCCACAGACAAAAGCUUUUGACGGGCAAGAAGGGCCAGAAGGAUGGCAAAAGGAAGUGCCCCAAAUGCAGCCCAUUUCGGAGUUGCCAAGAAGAUUGUAGAAACAACACCUCUGGACAUGAUUUGGCAAAUACCACUUUAGCAGGAAAGUUGUGUGAUGGACUCUGACCUUGCUGGUUCCCUAGAGGCUGCCAAGUCUGGGCUACCUUCAAUGUAAAAGAUUGCUCUGGUUAGAGACAACUGAUUAAUAAUCAGCAUAUGCGUUAUGAGAGGACCAGAUCAACUCCCAGUAAGUCCUGAUCACUCCUCAAUUAGUACCCUGAAGCCUAGGCUAGGAAGGAAAAUGACUGCCAGGCUGAAGAGGAUAAAGGCUGUCCAAGGCCCUAAAGAAAUGUCACAUGAAUUGAAAUAAUAAAACAAAUAUGGUGCCAUGGAAGCAUCAUGUGGAAGAUAAAAGAAACACACAAGAGGAUAACCCCAAAGUGCAUUAGGGACCUGCCCCUACAUGGUAACAGACUAGAAAGAGCAAUCACAGCUCACCGAUCUACACAGCAAGGCCCACUGAGUCACAAAAUCUUACACUGAUUAUCAGGCUCCCAAACAAUACAAGUCCCAAGGACAAAGCACGAA
rnacentral:lncRNA from 1 species